rnacentral:rRNA from 1 species
GUCCAUUUGAAGAUAUAAAUGGUCUGGCCUGCUCACUGAUAAGAGAAUUUAAGAGCCGCGGUAUAUUGACCGUGCAAAGGUAGCAUAAUCAUUAGGGGUUUAAUUGGAACCUAGAAUGAAGGGUUGGACAAAGGAAAGACUGUCUUUAUAUUGAAAGUUGAAUUUUACUUUUAAGUGAAAAGGCUUAAAUAUAUCAAAGGGACGAUAAGACCCUAUAAAGCUUUAUAGAUAACUUAAAUUUGGUUGAUUUAAAAAUAAAAACCGAGUUUAAUUAUUCUAUUUUGUUGGGGUGAUAUGAGUAUAAUUAUUAUUAACUGCUUAAGAAAAAUACUAAUAUAAGAGAAUUAUAUAGUGCAUGAUCCUUUUUAAAGAUUAAAAGGCUAAGUUACUUUAGGGAUAACAGCGUUAUUUCUUUUGAGAGUUCAUAUCGAAAAAGAAGAUUGCGACCUCGAUGUUGAAUUAAAAUAUCUAUAUAAUGCAGCCGUUAUAAAAGAGGGUCUGUUCGACCUUUAAAUUUUU